CCCCUCUCAGGGUCGCACCUGGAGAGUUCCUAGUCCUCUUCCAGUCUCGGCUAAGGAUGGGAGAGUCACGCAGAGGCCUGUCUAUUCCGUUCCUAGCUUGGGCAGUGGCUAGUGAGUGGAAGGCGAUCUGCUACAAGU